rnacentral:rRNA from 1 species
GAUGAACGCUGGCGGCGUGCUUAACACAUGCAAGUCGAACGGAAAGGCUCAAGCUUGCUUGGGUACUCGAGUGGCGAACGGGUGAGUAACACGUGGGUGAUCUGCCCUGCACUUCGGGAUAAGCCUGGGAAACUGGGUCUAAUACCGGAUAGGACCACAUUUUGGAUGGUGUGGUGGAAAGUUUUUCGGUGUGGGAUGAGCUCGCGGCCUAUCAGCUUGUUGGUGGGGUAAUGGCCUACCAAGGCGUCGACGGGUAGCCGGCCUGAGAGGGUGUACGGCCACAUUGGGACUGAGAUACGGCCCAGACUCCUACGGGAGGCAGCAGUGGGGAAUAUUGCACAAUGGGCGCAAGCCUGAUGCAGCGACGCCGCGUGGGGGAUGACGGCCUUCGGGUUGUAAACUCCUUUCGCUAGGGACGAAGCGCAAGUGACGGUACCUGGAGAAGAAGCACCGGCUAACUACGUG